rnacentral:rRNA from 1 species
AACGAACGCUGGCGGCAGGCUUAACACAUGCAAGUCGAACGCCCCGCAAGGGGAGUGGCAGACGGGUGAGUAACGCGUGGGAAUCUACCCAGAUCUACGGAACAACAGUUGGAAACGACUGCUAAUACCGUAUACGCCCUACGGGGGAAAGAUUUAUCGGAUUUGGAUGAGCCCGCGUUGGAUUAGCUAGUUGGUGGGGUAAUGGCCUACCAAGGCGACGAUCCAUAGCUGGUCUGAGAGGAUGAUCAGCCACACUGGGACUGAGACACGGCCCAGACUCCUACGGGAGGCAGCAGUGGGGAAUAUUGGACAAUGGGCGCAAGCCUGAUCCAGCCAUGCCGCGUGAGUGAUGAAGGCCUUAGGGUUGUAAAGCUCUUUCACCGAUGAAGAUAAUGACGGUAGUCGGAGAAGAAGCCCCGGCUAACUUCGUGCCAGCAGCCGCUGUAACAC